CCCAGCCAAGACCGGGCUCAGGGCGGCUAACAACCAAUAAUAAAAACAAGUUGAUUAAAAUACAAUUUAAAAACAAGAUUAAAAUACAUUAAAACAUUAGGAUGCAGCCUCUACACAGGAGGAGAAAGGAAAAAGAAAGAGGGGGAGGGAAUCAAACUGGUUCUAAGCCAAAGGCCAGGUGGAACAACUCUGUCUUACAGGCCCUGCGGAAAGAAAUCAAAUCUCACAGGGCCCUGGUCUCAUGAGACAGAGCAUUCCACCAGGCCGGAGCCAGUGUUGAGAAGGCCCCGGCUCUGGUUGAGGCUAAUCUAACUUCCUUAGGGCCCGGGACCUCUAGGGUGUUGCUAUUUAUGGACCUUGAGGCUCUCCGUGGGGCAUACCAGGAGAGGCGGUCCCGUAGGUACGAUCUGGAUAAGGAACGGACCCUUGGAAAUCAAAUAGGGUCAGGCACAAAAUGAUCGGCAAUCCUGUUUGGCCAACAGUUGGGCAGGCUGUUUCCUGUCUCUGGAAGCUUCUAUGAGCAUUCCAAUGCCUGAGGGGCAGAAUUCUCCUCACCCAGAGGCCGGUUUGGGGUGAAUUGGGACCUCCAGGCUGCAGCAGCUGAAUGCCCCUUACCCGUCUCCCCCACCCACUUCACCCUUGCUCCCAGAAAGCCGCCUGAGGUGCUGCAGAAGCCCCCUCGCUCCCCUCCAAGGCUGUUUCACGUCUCCCUUGAGGUGCCCAAAUGGGAGACUUCUGAGGUGAUGUUUGCUUCUGUAAUUGUGCCAGAAGAUUCCGUUAUCAGGGAUUAUUUUACACUCCUAUGAUGCAACUGGCCUAUCAGGAGAGGGACGUUCACCCGCAGAGAGGGAAUCGGUGGAGUUGGAGAAAGCAAACAGUGACCAGAUACUGAGUCUAUGCAGCUAACUCAAGAUGGAUCCAAAACUCUUGCCCAAUUCAUCAUCUCCCAUGGACCAGGGAGAAUCUUGAUGGUUCUUCCUGGAGCUUUUCCUCCAGGGAAGAAUGACUAUGGGUUUUGGGCGAUUCUGGAGCUUAUGUUGAUGUUCCAGAGCUUAUGUUGAUGUUCCCUGACGCCUUAUG